rnacentral:rRNA from 1 species
GACGAACGCUGGCGGCGUGCUUAACACAUGCAAGUCGAGCGAGGCCCCUCCUUCGGGAGGGUGUCCUAGCGGCGAACGGGUGAGUAACACGUGGGCAACCUGCCCUCAGCUCUGGGAUAACUCCGGGAAACCGGGGCUAAUACCGGAUACGACCUCCACGGGCAUCUGCGGAGGUGGAAAGUUUUUCGGCUGAGGAUGGGCCCGCGGCCUAUCAGCUAGUUGGUGGGGUAGUGGCCCACCAAGGCGACGACGGGUAGCCGGCCUGAGAGGGCGACCGGCCACACUGGGACUGAGACACGGCCCAGACUCCUACGGGGGGCAGCAGUGGGGAAUAUUGCGCAAUGGGCGAAAGCCUGACGCAGCGACGCCGCGUGAGGGACGAAGGCCUUCGGGUUGUAAACCUCUUUCAGCAGGGACGAAGCGAAAGUGACGGUACCUGCAGAAGAAGCACCGGCCAACUACGUG